CCUACGGGCGGCUGCAGUGGGGAAUAUUGGACAAUGGGGGGAACCCUGAUCCAGCCAUGCCGCGUGUGUGAAGAAGGCCCUCGGGUUGUAAAGCACUUUCAGUGAGGAAGAACGCCUGGUGGUUAAUACCCAUCAGGAAAGACAUCACUCACAGAAGAAGCACCGGCUAACUCCGUGCCAGCAGCCGCGGUAAUACGGAGGGUGCGAGCGUUAAUCGGAAUUACUGGGCGUAAGGCGCGCGUAGGUGGCUUGAUAAGCCGGUUGUGAAAGCCCCGGGCUCAACCUGGGAACGGCAUCCGGAACUGUCAAGCUAGAGUGCAGGAGAGGAAGGUAGAAUUCCCGGUGUAGCGGUGAAAUACGUAGAGAUCGGGAGGAAUACCAGUGGCGAAGGCGGCCUUCUGGACUGACACUGACACUGAGGUGCGAAAGCGUGGGUAGCAAACAGGAUUAGAUACCCUGGUAGUC
rnacentral:rRNA from 1 species